CAAAGUACAAGAAUAAAUUAGUUAUCGCCACAACAGAAUGUCUCUGAAAUAAUCAAGAAGACCUUUCAAACUGAGCUAUUGAGGAUUUCAGUUGUUACCAGAAUCCUCUUUUGGGAUUUUUCCUUAAGAUAUUAAAAUGUCUCCUGAGCAGUUGUGUUCAUUCUCACAUCCAAAUGUGAUUACUUCUUCAGACCUACAGUGUAACUUACCAUAUCCUUAUGCAGAAAUAAGCAUUUUCAUUAGUUAUGCAGUCGGGCCUUGAAAAAGAGCAUUUGUCUACAAAAAUGAUGCAAGCAACCCUAAGGCAAACUCUUCACAGAAAGAGACGAAAACCGUUUCUGUGUCUUACUUCGCUGUGGAACUAUCAGGACUGUCCUGGGAUGGUGGUCCUUGCACCUUUGGUCUCCAGCCGUGAAGACAACACGACCUUUUCAGACUCUCAGGUCAUCGAGGAGAUGGCUGACCAGGAGUGUGAAUAAGGGCUAUUUACAUGGAGCAUUCAAGUGGAGGGAGACGGGAUUUAUACGGGAAAUAUUAAAGCGUUUCUGUGACAAUUAUUCAAUUGAUUUAUUAAAACUAAAUAGCUAAACCCUAAUAAUUGAAAAGCAAUUGUUAUAAAUGCUAGGGGA
rnacentral:lncRNA from 1 species